CUCGGUUUGAAACAUCUAUAGCAACACCAUACGGUGAAGCAAAAAAACAUCUUCAUAUUUUAUUCAAUCCUUUAUAUCACUUGCAGUGUUUAGUUAUAUUUGAACCACAUAUACAGUGUUUUAAGGAGGAUAUAUUUGUCAUUAUUAAGCACGGAAAUUACACGAUGUCUUCGCAGAGAUUGACCUUACUUUUGGCAGUCCUUAUACUGUCAUACACAGCACAGUGCAUGUGGAUUCCGACUAACACCGAUGCGACAGCGACUGAUGUCGACAAUACCAAAUCUGGGAUGAGAACGGGAAGUUAUCUAAACAAUGACGACCCCAACAACAAUGCUACGAUCAAGCGCGAUUACAUUAUUCUAAGCAUAGGUGUUACUAACAUGGUUUAAUGAAUGAAAUGUCUCUAUUUUAUCAAGACCGCUGCUUUAAUUUGUUGAGCGUCAGGAGGUUCUCUCUGUUGAAAUGUACUUUGUUCUCUAUGUGUUUUAACUUUUGCUUACAUAUUCGCAUUUUCCUAAGAACAUGGUACACAUUCAUAUAAUUUACAAUAAAACUUAUGACAGCGGUCCAAAUAGUCAGUACGAUCCAAAUUAUUCGUGAAGAUUAAAUCACUGUAAUGUAUAUGUUGUGAAUGAAUGAGCAAUACAUGAAUUGAAUUGA